CUGUCUUCUUGUCUUCGAAGUUCUUCAUUCAAAUUUUCAUAUUCGGCCUUUACGAAAAUCAAAUAUGAAAGAAUUAAGAAAAAAUAAAUAUAUUAUGAAUAAUUAAUAAAUGAUCACUCACCAUCAUAGUUUUUCCUCUAUCAUUUAACGGCGUAUGAGUUGACAAGAAUGCCUCUUGAAAUGACGGUUUUCGACCUAAUUUGAGACUCUAUACGAAAAAAUCUAGUUAAAAUAAUUCAUAAAAUAUUUAAAUUGAAAUGAAUUUAAAAUAUAAACUUACUAAUGCAUGAGAGUUGGCUUCAAAAGAAGCCGAUCCACCCUUGUACACCAAAUAAUCGUCGUUUUUAGUUCGAUUUGCUGAAUUCUUUUUUGAUUUUUCUACGAACUCUGGUGCCAAAAACUUGUCCAUCAUUAGUCCCCAUUUUUCUUUUGUAAUGUAUGUUGGAGGGAAAUCUUUGCAAGUCUCGUCAAGUUCUGAGACACCAGCAUUUCUCUUUGCAUCCAGUCUUGCUUUGUUAAGCCAUUUUGGAUAAUUAAUAGUCAGGUACUGAUUGAAUGCAUUCCGAGCACUGUCUUCGUCAUCAAAUUUAAAGAAUUU
rnacentral:lncRNA from 1 species